AGAAUCAACGCUGGCGGCGUGCCUAAUACAUGCAAGUCGAACGCGAAAGUCCCGCAAGGGAUGAGUAGAGUGGCAAACGGGUGAGUAACGCGUGGGUGACCUGCCUUCGAGUGGGGGAUAACGUUUCGAAAGGAACGCUAAUACCGCAUGACAUCCUGCUUUUUAACAGGCGGAGAUCAAAGCCGGGGAUCGCAAGACCUGGCGCUUGAAGAGGGGCCCGCGUCCGAUUAGCUAGUUGGUGGGGUAAUGGCUCACCAAGGCAUCGAUC
rnacentral:rRNA from 1 species